UACGUAGGGUGCAAGCGUUAAUCGGAAUUACUGGGCGUAAAGCGUGCGCAGGCGGUUUUGUAAGUCUGUCGUGAAAUCCCCGGGCUCAACCUGGGAAUUGCGAUGGAGACUGCAAGGCUAGAAUCUGGCAGAGGGGGGGUAGAAUUCCACGUGUAGCAGUGAAAUGCGUAGAGAUGUGGAGGAACACCGAUGGCGAAGGCAGCCCCCCUGGGCCAAUACUGACGCUCAUGCACGAAAGCGUGGGGAGCAAACAGG
rnacentral:rRNA from 1 species